AAUAAUGAGGCGUGAGAGUGGCGGAUUGGCGAGUAACACGUGAGCACCUCGCCCUGAGGUUAGGGGAAACCGCUGGAAACGGCGGCUAAUAUCCGAUGGAGCGCCCAUGGACAUGAGUGGAGCGCGAAAGGGGGCCGCAAGGCUCCCGCCACGGGAUGGGCUCGCGCAUCAUCAGCUAGUUGGCGGGGUAACGGCCCACCAAGGCGUACGAUUAGCUGGUCUGAGAGGAUGACCAGCCGCACUGGGACUGAGAUACUGCCCAGACUCCUACGGGAGGCUGCAGUCGAGGAUCAUUCGCAAUGGGGGAAACCCUGACGAUGCGACGCUGCGUGGAAGGAUGAAGGCCUUCGGGUUGUAAACUCCUGUCAUGAGGGAAAAGGCGAGGGGACCCAACACGUCUCUUAGUUGAUGGUACCUCAAGAGGAAGGGACGGCUAACUCUGUGCCAGCCGCAGC
rnacentral:rRNA from 1 species